AUGCCGCCCCCCCACACACACCUACAUAUGCCUCAUACACAUAGACACAAAGACACAUGCCCCCCCACACACACCUACAUACGCCUCAUACACAUAGACACAAAGACACAUGCCCCCCCACACACACAGAGGCCCCCCACACACACCUACAUACGCCUCAUACACAUAGACACAAAGACGCAUGCCCCACACACACACCUACAUACGCCUCAUACACAUAGACACAAAGACGCAUGCCCCACACACACACCUACAUACGCCUCAUACACAUAGACACAAAGACGCAUGCCCCACACAUCAUACACAUAGACACAAAGACACAUGCCCCCCACACACCUACAUAUGUCUCAUACACAUAGACACAAAGACACAUGCCCCCCACACACACCUACAUAUGUCUCAUACACAUAAACACAAAGACACAUGCCCACACAUACACACCUACAUAUGUCUCAUACACAUAGACACAAAGAUGCAUGCCCCCCACACACACCUACAUACACCUCAUACACAUAGACACAAAGACACAUGCCUCCCCACACCCACAGAGGCCCCCACACCUACAUACACCUCACCACAUAUGCCUCAUACACAUAGACACAAAGACACAUGCCACCCCCCACACAGAGGCCCCCAUACCUACAUACACCUCAUACACAUAUACACAAAGACACAUGCCCCCCCCCACACACACACAGACACUCACUAAUUAGCCCAAGAACGCCCAGGCUGUCCGUACAGAGAAGGUGCAGGCCUUUUGCCUGUGAGCUUUGGCUUUCCGGAUACCAACUACUAUCCAUGCUACCCUGGAAGAUGAAGGGACACAAUGAGCUCCCCAUGAAUAUAGAAGAAGGGG
rnacentral:lncRNA from 1 species